rnacentral:rRNA from 1 species
CCUACGGGAGGCAGCAGUGGGGGAUAUUGCACAAUGGGGGGAACCCUGAUGCAGCGACGCCGCGUGUGGGAAGACGGUCCUCUGGAUUGUAAACCACUGUCCCCAGGGACGAAAAUGACGGUACCUGGGGAGGAAGCUCCGGCUAACUACGUGCCAGCAGCCGCGGUAAUACGUAGGGAGCGAGCGUUGUCCGGAAUUACUGGGUGUAAAGGGAGCGUAGGCGGGGAUGCAAGUUGGGUGUCAAAACUACCGGCUCAACUGGUAGUCGCACUCAAAACUGCAGCUCUUGAGUGAAGUAGAGGCAGGCGGAAUUCCUAGUGUAGCGGUGAAAUGCGUAGAUAUUAGGAGGAACACCAGUGGCGAAGGCGGAUGACUGGACGGCAACUGACGGUGAGGCGCGAAAGCGUGGGGAGCAAACAGGAUUAGAUACCCUUGUAGUC